rnacentral:rRNA from 1 species
GGGGGGGGCGGGGGGCGGGCCGAAGAGAGGCGGGGCGGGGGGGCGGGCGGGGGGGUGGGGUCGCUGAGGGGGGCGGCGGGCGGGGGGGUAACACGUGGAUAACCUACCUAUAAGACUGUGAUACCUGCGGGAAACGGGCGCUCAGACCGGAUAAUCUUUUGAACCGCAUGGUGCCAACGUGCAGGACGGUCUUGCUGUCGCGUAUAGAUGUCUCCGCGCUGCAUUAGCUAGUUGGUAAGGUAACGGCUUACCAAGGCAACGAUGCAUAGCCGACCUGAGAGGGUGAUCGGCCACACUGGAACUGAGACACGGUCCAGACUCCUACGGGAGGCAGCAGUAGGGAAUCUUCCGCAAUGGGCGAAAGCCUGACGGAGCAACGCCGCGUGAGUGAUGAAGGUCUUCGGAUCGUAAAACUCUGUUAUUAGGGAAGAACAUAUGUGUAAGUAACUGUGCACAUCUUGACGGUACCUAAUCAGAAAGCCACGGCUAACUACGUG